CUGCAAGUGGCAUCGUAAGGACCCGAUUCUGACAAUUUUUUUCAGCCGUCGACUUAGGAGCGUAAGUUGAGUUAUUCAGAUUUUCAAUUUUAAUUUUUUCCGGCAAAUCUGUUUCGAACGCCCGCAAAUGACCUAUCUAUCUUGAAU